rnacentral:rRNA from 1 species
CCUACGGGAGGCAGCAGUGAGGAAUAUUGGUCAAUGGGCGGAAGCCUGAACCAGCCAAGUCGCGUGAGGGAUUAAGGCCCUGCGGGUCGUAAACCUCUUUUGCCGGGGAGCAGAGGUCCGGACGUGUCCGGGCCGGGAGAGUACCCGGAGAAAAAGCAUCGGCUAACUCCGUGCCAGCAGCCGCGGUAAUACGGAGGGUGCAAGCGUUGUCCGGAAUCAUUGGGCGUAAAGAGUUCGUAGGUGGCAUAGUAAGUCUGGUGUUAAAUGCAGAAGCUCAACUUCUGUUCGGCACUGGAUACUGGUAAGCUUGAAUGCGGUAGAGGUAAAGGGAAUUCCUGGUGUAGCGGUGAAAUGCGUAGAUAUCAGGAGGAACAUCGGUGGCGUAAGCGCUUUACUGGGCCGUAAUUGACACUGAGGAACGAAAGCCGGGGUAGCAAAUGGGAUUAGAUACCCCAGUAGUC